AGAACAGGCAGAGGCAGUUCAGGGGGUAUUCUGGUUGCCUUACCCAGCUCUGAAGUCUGUCAGCCUCUUCAGAUGUCACUUGCCCUGUGGUAAGGAAGUGUAGUCAGCACCUGGUGCAGUGGCAAGAAGAGAAAGGAAGUUCCCCAAGACAGAAACAUCUCAGCAGUGAGUUCCUGAUGAGGGAAGGGAAGUGAAUCCUAAGAACAAUCAUGUGAGUUUGGAAGGAGACCCUUCCCCAGCUGAGCCUCAGCCUGAGCCAUCACCUACAUCUAGACCGAAGACCCAGAGAAACCGUGAGUAAUAUGUGUGUGGUUCUGAGCCACUAAGGUACGUACUAAUUUGUUAUGCACCAAGUAGUAAGUAAUAUACUUGACAGUAAUUGUAAGGUGGUAUUCUGGAUUAGGUCCUGGAAUAGAUAAGUAUAUGAUUAUUAAAAAACCUGGUAAAAUAUGAAGGAAGUUUGUAGAUCAGUUAAUAAUCUCGAAAAACAGUUAAAUUCUUAGUUUUCAUGAAUAUGCUAUGGUUAUAAUAUAUAUUAACAUUCUAGUUAGCUGAAUGGUAUAUGAAACUGUCUGUACUUACCUAUGUGCAUUUAUGUAAAUCUGCAGUUAUUUCAAAAUAAAUAUGUUUUUUAAUAUUAUUAUUAUUUUUUUAAGAAAAGUAAGCAAGUAAAGACAUCAGCAAAAAACUUUUGCCUCCAGAUACAAGUGGGCAUGUAGGGAGAGAAUAGUAAACUGGCUUUUCUUUUCUAGGCAACAUUCGAAACCCAGGUGCCACUCCUUCAGGAAGGUACCAUCAAGCUCCAAGGACUCUUAUCCUCUUUCUCCUUCCCCACUACCUAGUCAUUAGAGCGUCAGCAUCCACUUCUUGAAAGGAAGAUGCCUGUUUUUCACAUAUCCCAGAAAACCCCAUUUUAGGACAGCAUUUAGCAGAGUAUAUUCAGGAUCCCACUAACCUUUUUGGAAGACAUGACUUCCAGAUGAUAUAAGGCAAGAAUAAGAAAUUUCAGUGACAGGGAACAGAAAUCAUAUUUCUGCAUUCAGGAUCAUGUUUUCUUGGCUCCAUCAGGAACUGUGCAGGACUGUGCACUCUGUUGAUACUCACAUGGUGGAAUUAUAUUGCCUUUGGCCAACCCUAAAGCCAUCAAGAUAGCAGGUCUGGUCUACCGAGAAGAGAGAUCAAAGAGCUCUUCAGCUGUUCCCAGCUCCCCACACAAAUCUACCUAACAAAGUCCCGAUAAACAGUCUGUUUUCUGGAGUCUAUCAAUACUGAUGAGGUCUUGUUCUUUUGGCCAGGCUGGAGUGCAGUGGUACAGUCGUGACUCACUGCAGCUUCAAACACCUGGGUUCCAGCAUUCAUCCCACUUCAGCCUCCCGUGUAGCCGGGACUACAGGUCCCUAUCUUUUUUGUUGGAGAAUGAAAUUAAAAAAGAUUUGGACACU
ensembl:lncRNA PWRN1 Prader-Willi region non-protein coding RNA 1